UUCAGGUAACCGGUCAGGACCUUGCGCAAUGACGUCUGACGUAGAGGGACGGAGGAGCCCGCGCAUGCGUCAAGGAGCAAGGUCACGGGCUGAAUUGGAGUCUGAAGCAAGUACUCGAUCAGUUUCUGUGCUCUUUUGUCCACAUCUGAAUCCUGUUGAAAUGCAUCUGGUGAUGUUUUGCUGUUGUUCCACAUCUCCACCGAACAUCUGGAAUCUUGGGUCUCUUGAGGAAGGCCAAAGAAAAGCGAUCGCCCAAAUCUUUGUGGCAAAUUGGCAAGAG